rnacentral:rRNA from 1 species
GAUGAACGCUGGCGGCAUGCCUAACACAUGCAAGUCGAACGGCAGCACGGUCUAGCUUGCUAGAUGGGUGGCGAGUGGCGAACGGGUGAGUAACGCGUAGGAAUAUGCCUUGAAGUGGGGGACAACUUGGGGAAACUCAAGCUAAUACCGCAUAAUUUCUUAGGAAAAAAGCUGGGGACCUUAGGGCCUGGCGCUUCAAGAUUAGCCUGCGUACGAUUAGCUAGUUGGUAGGGUAAGAGCCUACCAAGGCGACGAUCGUUAGCUGGUCUGAGAGGAUGGCCGGCCACACUGGAACUGAGGCACGGUCCAGACUCCUACGGGAGGCAGCAGUGGGGAAUAUUGGACAAUGGGGGCAACCCUGAUCCAGCAAUGCCGCGUGUGUGAAGAAGGCCUGAGGGUUGUAAAGCACUUUCAGUGGGGAGGAGGAUUGCCAGGUUAAGAGCUAGGUAAUUGGACGUUACCCACAGAAGAAGCACCGGCUAACUCCGUGCCAGCAGCCGCAGUAA